rnacentral:rRNA from 1 species
AUUGAACGCUGGCGGAAGGCUUAACACAUGCAAGUCGAACGAGCGGCGGACGGGUGAGUAAUGUCUGGGAACCUGCCUGAUGGAGGGGGAUAACUACUGGAAACGGUAGCUAAUACCGCAUACCAUCAGAUGUGCCCAGAUGGGAUUAGCUAGUUGGUGGGGUAAUGGCUCACCUAGGCGACGAUCCCUAGCUGGUCUGAGAGGAUGACCAGCCACACUGGAACUGAGACACGGUCCAGACUCCUACGGGAGGCAGCAGUGGGGAAUAUUGCACAAUGGGCGCAAGCCUGAUGCAGCCAUGCCGCGUGUGUGAAGAAGGCCUUCGGGUUGUAAAGCACUUUCAGCGAGGAGGCGUUACUCGCAGAAGGAGCACCGGCUAACUCCGUGCCAGCAGCCGCGGUAAUAC